rnacentral:piRNA from 1 species
UAGACCAAGUUGGAGCCAAGAAAGAAAAAUA